rnacentral:rRNA from 1 species
AUUGAACGCUGGCGGCAGGCCUAACACAUGCAAGUCGAGCGGCAGCGGAAAGUAGCUUGCUACUUUGCCGGCGAGCGGCGGACGGGUGAGUAAUGUCUGGGAAACUGCCUGAUGGAGGGGGAUAACUACUGGAAACGGUAGCUAAUACCGCAUAACGUCGCAAGACCAAAGAGGGGGACCUUCGGGCCUCUUGCCAUCAGAUGUGCCCAGAUGGGAUUAGCUAGUAGGUGGGGUAACGGCUCACCUAGGCGACGAUCCCUAGCUGGUCUGAGAGGAUGGCCAGCCACACUGGAACUGAGACACGGUCCAGACUCCUACGGGAGGCAGCAGUGGGGAAUAUUGCACAAUGGGCGAAAGCCUGAUGCAGCCAUGCCGCGUGUAUGAAGAAGGCCUUCGGGUUGUAAAGUACUUUCAGCGGGGAGGAAGGUGCUGAGGUUAAUAACCUCAGCAAUUGACGUUACCCGCAGAAGAAGCACCGGCUAACUCCGUGCCAGCCGCCGCAGUAAGAC